AGAGCGCUCCAGGCUGGGUUCCCGGGCCCCGCCGCGCCGCCUCCUUCCCAGCUCGCCCGCCCAGGCCUGGCCUCCUGCUUUUCCAUUUGAUUCCCUGCCUCUUUCUAUUCGGACUGGAAUGCCGGGCCAGGCUCCGGGGCGCGCCGCUGCGGCAGCCGCACCUCGCAGGUCCCCCGGCCGACCCCGACGCGGAAGCGGCGGCCCUCCUCGCCGUCGGGGAGCCAGGGAGCCGGGGACGAUCAGUCACAUAAGGCUUAGAGGAUCAAGGAUCCUGCCCAGAUGACUUACCGAAAUGUUACAGAUUAAGUUGGUGUGGUAACCUGGGCUGAGCACUCUGGGAGAGGAAGAGAAGAGAGAAGACAGGAAACAACUGAACUAUGACCAAUCCCAGCACGGAGGCCCAGAAAACUUUAAGAUUUGAGUAUUAAUGUCUCAAGGUCAGGAGCAACCUCAAGGCUAAAACUCAGAUCUCAGGACUCAAUUUCACAGAAGUUCCACUAUAAAGGCAAUAAUCUAAAGCUUUAAAUGAUAUGAAAAUUUUGUAAUAAGAGUUCAGUAUUUCUGCCAACAUUGGCGCAUGGAUUGCAAAGUUCACAGGAUUGAAAACACCAUCGACAUAAUGGAAAUUGAACAGCAUCUGAUUACUGAGUGCUAUAUCAGCAAGUUAAAAGGAUCUUUUGCAUACCUUUUAAUGGUAUAUAUCCUAAAACUGAAGUGUUCAAUAUAGACAUCCAGAUUGAAACUCAGGCAGUGAAUUACAUACACAACAAAUCAGUUGAACAUGGCAGAGCUUGUCAGACUUAUGAAAGAUUAAAUACAUUUUACAUUUCCACAAGUGUGGUAUUCACAGGUCUAAAUUGGAAAAUUCUUGGGUUGAAGAAGAAUAAUCAUAAUCUUAGCUUCACUCAUUGAGGAAACAUUAUUCAGGGAUGAUAAGAGGUAAAAUCUUAAAAAUAUUGACAAGCUAAUGAGAGAACUUUGAGGUAAGCUGAUAUGCAGGUAUAGUUAGGACUGGGAAAAGCAAGAAAAUGGAAGGAUGGGUUAGAGGGUGGCACUACACGGCUGAUAUAGUUUGGAUAUCUGUCCCCAUCCAAAUCUCAUGUUAAAUUGGAAUCCCCAAUUCUGGAGGCAGAGCUAGAAGGCAGAGCCUGGUGGAAGGUGUUUGCAACAUGAGGAAGGAUCCCUCAUGGCUUGGUGCUGUCUUAACAAUAAUGAGUGAGUUCUCCCGAGAUCUAGUCAUUUAAAAGGGUGUGGCACCUCCCCCCCCCCCCGCCCCCGCCAACUCUCUCUUGCUCCUACUCUGCCAUAUGAAUGUUUGUUCCCCCUUUGCCUUCAGCCAUGAUUAGAAGCUUCAUUAGGACUCCUCAGAAGUAGAUGUUGGUGCCAUACUUCCUGUAUAGCCUGUAGUACCAUGAACCUCUUCGCUUUAUAAAUUACCUGGUCUUGGGGAUUUCUUUAUAGCAAUGCAAGAAUGACCUAAUACAGAAAACUGGUACUGAGAAGUGAGUCAUUGCUGUAGAGAUACCUGAAAAUGUGGAAGCAGCUUUGGAACUUGGUGACAGGCAGAAGUUGGAAGAGUUUGUAGGGCUCAGAAGAAGACAGAAAGAUGAGGGAAAGUUUGGAAUUUCUUAGGGACUGGUUAAAUGGUUGUGACCAAAAUGCUGAUAGCUAGGACAUGAACAGAAUGCACCCAAGCACUUUGCUAAGGCAAAACAUGCGUGACCUUUGCUCUAGUUCCCAAUAAUUUCCUUAUUUCCAUUCGAGACCUCAGAAGCCUGGACUUCAAACCAAAAUGCUGAUAGUGAUGUGAACAGUGAAGUCCAGGCUGCUGAGGCCUCAGAUGGAAAUUAGGAACUUACUGGGAACUAGAGCAAAGGUCACACAAUGUUAACGCCUUAGCAAAGAGCUUAGCUGCCUUCUGUUCAUGCCCUAGGAAUCUGUGGAAGUUUGAACUUGAGAGUGAUGAUUUAGGGUAUCUGGCAGAAGAAAUGUCUAAGCAGCAAAGUGAUCAAGAAGUGGUGUGGCUGCUUCUAGCCACUUAUAUUCAGAUGUGGGAGCAAAGACAAAAGGUAGAACUUAUAUUUAAAAGGGAAGCAGAGCAAAAAAAGUUUGGAAAAUUUGCAGCCUGGCCAUGUGGCAGAGAAAGAAAAAAGCUUUUUCAGUAGAGGAAUUCAAGCAGACUGUGGAACAAUUACUUGCUAGAGAUGUUUGCAGGAUUAAAGGGGAGCCAAGUGCUACUAUCCAAGACAAUAGGGAAAAAGCCUUGAAAGCAUUUCAAAGAACUUCAGAGUGGCUUCUCCCAUCACAGGCCCAGAAGCUUAGGAGGAGAGAAUAGAUUCAUGGACUGGGCCCAGGGCCAUGGUACCUUGCACAGCCUUGGGACACUGCUCACCACAUCCUAGCUGCUCCUGUUCCCACUCUUGCCAUGGCUCAAAGGGGCCUACAUACAGCUUGGACUGCCACUUUGGAGAAUGCAAACAGUAAACCUUGGUAGCUUUCAUGUGGUGUUAAGCCUGCAGGCACACAAAGUGCAAGAAUCGUGGAUUCUUGGCAGCCUCUGCCUAGAUUUCAGAGGACAUAUGGAAAAGUCUGUUUGUCCAGGCAGAAGCCUGUUACAGGGGUGGAGCCCUUACAAAGAACCUCUACUAGGGCAGUAUAGAGGGGAAAUGUGGGGUUGGAGGCUCCAACAGGGUCACCGCUGGGGCACUGCCUAAUGGAACUAUACGAAGUGGGCCACUGCCCUCCAGACCUAAGGAUGAUAGAUCUACCAGCAGCUUGUAUUCUGCACCUGGAAAAGCCACAGGCACUCAACUGCAGCCCAUGAGCGCAGCCUUGGAUUCUUUACCCUGCAAAGCCAUAGGGGCAGGACUGCUCAAGGCCUGGGGAGCCCACCCCUUGUACCAGUGUGGCCUGGAUGUGGAACAUGAUGUCGAAGAUUAUUUUGGAACUUUAAGAUUUAGUGACUUCCCUACUGGGUUUUGGAGCUGUGUGGAUCCUGUAGACCCUUUCUUUUGGCCAAUUUCCCCCUUUUUGGGAUGGAAACAUUUACCCAAUCCCUAUACCCCCAUUGUAUCUUGGAAGUAAAUAAUUUGUUUUUGAUUUUACAGGCUUAUAGGUGAAAGUGACUUCCCUUGUCUCCAAUGAGGCUUUGGACUUUGGACUUUUGAGUUAAUGCCAGAAUGAGUUAAGAUUUUGGGGGCCUAUUGGAAAGGCAUGAUUGUAGUUUGCAAUGUGAGAAGGACAUGAGAUUUGGAGAGGCCAGAGGUGGAAUGGUAUAGUUCAGAUAUUUGACCCAGCCCAAAUCUCUUGUUGAAUUGUAAUCCCCAAUGCUGGAGGUGGGGCCUUCCUUGUAUGAUGUGUUUGGAACAUGCAGGCAAAUUCCUCAUGGCUUGGUGCUGUUUUCAUGAUAGUGAGUGAGUUCUCCUGAGAUGUGGUCAUUUAAAAGUGUAUGGCACCUCCCCCCACUCUCUAUCUCUCUUGCUCCUGCUCUGCUAUAUGAGACACCUGUUCCCCGUUUGCCUUCCACCAUGAUUGAAAGCUUUGUGAGACCUCCUCAGAAGCCAAGCAGAUGCCAGUGCCAUGCUGCCUGUAUAGCCUGCAGAACCACAAGCCAAGUAAACCUCUUUUCUUUAUAAAUUACUUAGUCUCAGAUAUUUCUUUACAGCAAUGUAAGAAUGGCCUAAUACAAUAGCCUAAACUAAUUUGAGGGAGGUGAUGUGUCUCUUGCUACACAAAGUAUGGUUCAUGGACUAACAGCAUUGGCGUCACCAGGAGGUUGUCAGAAGUACAGACUUUCAGUUCCCUUCCCAGACCUAAUAAAUCAGACUCUCCAAAAAGUUUUGGGAGCACUGCUCCAGCCAAUGACUUGUGGUAGAAUUCUGUUUUUGCCUCAACAGCAUCCAUUCUCCUUUCAGUAACAACUCCUAGCUUCUACUUUGGGGAACUUUCCAUCUCCCACACUCAGACCUAGGGUUCAGAUGUGGCUAACCUAGCCCUGUGCAGCCAGAGGAAGGCACAUGAUCCAGGCCUGGCCAAUGACAGUGCCUUAUGACCCAGCCAGAGUGACUGGUUCAGCAAAGAGGGUGUAAUAUGAGCUGAGCCAAUGAGACUUAGUCCUGGUACUUUUGGGAAAGAAAUGCUCCCCUUCCUGAGUUUGCUGAGCUGAUAAGAUAUUCAUCUACAGCAGCCAUCUUUCCACUACCUGAGAAUGAAGCCAACAUAGGAAAAUGGAGCUGAGAAAUGAGAGAGAUCCUAACAAAUUCAUUUAUCCACUCACUACCGGAUCUAAAUCCUGGGCUUUUUAGUAACUCAAGCCAGUAUAGUCUUCAUUUCUUUGGCCAGUUCAAACUGGAUGUCUACUAGUUACAACUGAAAGAAUCCUAAUACAUCAGUCUCUUCCUGUCCCUGAAAUUCAUUAGGCUCAUUUUGAAUCUUUGAUAUUUCCUUUUCCUCUCUUCUUUGUCUGUGUUUAAUCCAUUUUGCAUUGCUGUAAAGGAAUACCUGAGACUCGGUAAUUUAUAAAGAAAAGAGAUUUAUUUGGCGCACAGUUCUGCAGGCUACACAAGCAUGGCACCAGCAUCUGCUCAGCUUCUGGUGAGGCCACAAGAAGCUUUAACUCAUGGCGGAAGGCGGAGGGAGAGCAGGUGUGUCAUAUGGCGAGAGAGGGAGCAAGAGAGAGGGGAGGGAGACUUCUCUUUUUUUGGCAAUCAGAUCUCGUGGUAACUAAUAAAGCAAAAAUUAAUUCAUUACUGUGGCAAGGACACCAAGCCAUUCCAAAAAGAUUCACCCCCAUGACCCAAACACCUCCCACCAGGUCCCACCUCCAGUGUUGGAGAUCGCAUGGGAGACAAAUAUCCAAACUAUAUCACUCCUCUCUAAACCAGUUUAGAGGGUUCAAACUUUGCCUUCUCCAGAUUUGCCUCUUCCCUGAGACCUUCCCUGAUAGCUUCCCACACAUACUGCUCUCCCCAGUCCAUCAAUGAAUUCCUGCAUCCAGGUGGCUAAUGGUUCCAUACUUACCCUUCAGCUGUGACCAGUUUUGUGUCCACCUCUGUCUUCCUCCCUCUUUUUGCUUAGAUGACACCCACUCAACCUCUAGAUGUCCCCUGCUACAGGUGGGAUGCCCUUGUUAUAUGUUCUUAUAGCACCACCUGUCUUCCCUUCAUGGCACUUAUAUUUGUAAAUGUAUUCAUGCCAUAGAGUACUGCAUGAAGGCAGUCGAGUGGGUGGUUCAAACGUAGACCCUGGUGUCAGCCUGCCUGGACUAGCUAUAUGACCUUGGGCAAGUUUCUUAACCUCUCUAUACCUCAAUUUCCUUACUUAUCAGGUGAAGAUAUUAAGAGUACCUCCUCAGAGUGUGAUUUUGUUAAUUUAUGUAAAGUACUGAGAACAUGCCUGGCAUGUAAUAGGCACUGUAUAAGUGAUAUCUAUUAUUAUUGUACAUGGGAUUAUUUGAUGUCUGUAUCCCAUCCCCCAUCAGACAUGAAAAAAUAGGUCUGCUUUUGAUCACCAUUUUACACUUAAAGAAAAGGGUCAGGCUGGGCAUGGUGGCUCACACUUGUAAUUCCAGCCCUUUGGGAGGCUGAGGCAGGUGGAUUGCUUGAGCCUAGGAGGGAGGGAGGGAAAGAAAGGAAGAAAGAAAGAGAGAGAGGGGGAGAGAGAGAGAGAAAGAAAGAAAGAAAAGAAAUAAAAGAAAGAAAGAGGAAAAAGGGAAGGAGGGAGGGAGGGAAAGAGAAAGAGAAAAGAGGGAGAGAGAAAGAAAAAGAAAAGAAAGAAAGAAGGGAGGGAGGGAGGGAAAGAAGGAAGGAAGGAAGGGGAAGGGGAAGGAGAGGUCCAUAGGAGUAGCCAAUAAAUUGAAUACUGAAUAUUUGGACAAUUGCCUCUCUCUAAGUGCUCUAGAAGCUUCUAGAGGGAAGGAAUCUUGUCUUAUACAUUAAAAAAAAAAAAAAAAAGUCUUAUCCAGUCUGAAGUACGGUGCCUGGCACAUUAAUUCCUUUCCUCUUUUCCCCUCACUGCCAAAUGAGCUAUUGCCACUCACUUGAUAUGCAAACACUGGCUGUCUAGUAUGGAAAAAUAUUUUUCUGGCUGUAGACUUGAGUUUGAUUACCAAAUUGAUUUCUGUGAAUUACAUUUCAAUUCUGUGCAGAACUUUUUGACAGCCCUUUAAUCACCAUGUAUCCAAUAAAUAUUUAUUAAAGACAUAUUCUGUGCCAGACACUGUGUGAGGCACUUGCCAUCCUGGGAUAAAAGAAGGUGGAAUCAGCGCUUACAUAACUCAAUUUCUAAUGCAGCAUACAUUGGCAUUGUUAAUUAAUGUCUUUGCUACUUUUUGUGUGCUAUUAGUAUAAGGAUAAGAUAACUUUGGCAUGAGUAUCAAAUUAGAAUUCCUACAAUGGAAACUACAUCUAAAACCAUGGGGGUAUUUACGGGUGGUUAAGAUUCCCUAAGUUAGCCAAGUAGGGUGGUACACGCCUAUAGUCCCAUGUACUUGGGAGGCUGUGACGAGAGGAUCACUUGAGCCCAGAAGUUCGAGGUCAGCCUAGCUGACAUAGUGAGACACCAUCUCUAUUAAAAAAUAAUAAUAAUAAAAGUUGUUUAAGCCUUUGAACAAUUGGCAUAUUGUGAACUGCCAAGUAAAAGGCCAUUGAAGGAUUUUUAAGCUAAGUUGGAACGUGAUUAGAUUUUUAUUUGAUAAUACCUUUUGAUUAACUGAAAGAAUGGAUUCCUCUAGUUGGCUACACUCUGGGGAAAGAGGGUUAAAAGAUAGCAACAUUUUUCUUGGUGAGGCCAGUUAGAAAUCUGUGGUGAGAGAGUCCCACAGUUGUUGAUAGUCUGAAUUUAGGGGAGUAGCCGUGGACAAAGAGAGGUGGACAUACUGAAGACCUUUUUUGGAGGUAGUCAGCUGAAUUUGUGAUUGACUGGGAUGAAGGACAAGGGCUAGUCCCAGAUUUCUGAGAUUUCUGACUGGAAUGAAGAGAUAUGUCAUUUUGGGUUUUUUGUUUUGUUUUGUUUAACAAUUGGGAAUGCUGAAGGAGAAGGUUCAGGUGAGGUAAUGAGGGAGAAAUGAGUUUGGUUCAGAAAUGUCGACUUUGAGAUAACCGUGAAACACCUGAAUCAUUAUAUCAAGUAAGCCCUUCACUAUACACAUGUAGGGCUCAGAAGAAAAGUCUGCACUGUAGAAAUAAAUCUAAGAGUGAUUAAUAUAUAGAAGAUAAUGGAGGACAUGCAAUUAUGGAUUAAAAUGCCCAAAGAGUGUCAAGUGAGAUACAGACAAGCGUGUAGUCAUGAAGAGCUCCACCAUGCAGAGAGCAGGUGGAUAAAGAGUUACCAAUGAAAAUCAAAAGAGAAAUUCCAAAGUGGCAGAAGAAAAGCCAAAUUGGCCUGGCACAGUGGUUCAUACCUAUAAUCCCAGCAUCUUGGGAGGCUGAGGCAGGAGAAUCGCUUGAGGCCAGGAGUUCGAUACCAGCCUGGGCAACAUAGUGAGAUACCCAUCUCUACAAAAAAAAAAAAAAAAAAUUUAAUUAGCCAGGCAUGGUGGCACAUGCCAGGAGACCUAGUUACUCUGGAGGCUGAGGACAGAAGAUUGCUUGAGCUCAGGAGUUUCAGGCUGCAGUGAGCUAUGAUCACACCACUGCACUCCAACCUGGGUGACAGAGCGAGACCCUGUCUCUAAAACUAAAUGAAUCAAUUUUUUUAAAAAAGAAAGUUGAAAUUAACACACAACAUCCCAAAAGCCAAAGAGUAUUUCAAGAUGGAGGGAAUAGUCAAAUGUAUCAAAUACAGCCAAGUGAUCAAGGAAGAUAAAUAAUAAUAUUAACAAUGGUCACUUCUUGAACAAGACUUUAAGAUGCAUUUAAUCCUUUUGAUGACCCAUGAAGGAGGUAAUAUUAAAAUCCCUAUCGCAAGGACCACUUGGGGCCAGGAGUUUGAGGCCAGCCUGGGCAACAUAGCAACACUCUGUCUCUUAAAAAAUAAAAAAAUUAGCCAGGCAUGGUGGCACACACCUGUAGUCCUAGCUACUCGGGAGACUAAGGCUGAAGGAUUGCUUGAGCCCAUGAGUUAGAGGCUGCAAUGAGCUAUGAACAUACCACUGCACUCCAGCCUGGAUGACUGGAUGACCAGAAUGAGACUCCAUUUCUAAAAAAAGACGUUUUUAAAAAAAACCCGCUGCAGAGAAGGGAAAGCUGAAGCUGAGAACUUAAGUAACUUUCCAGAGUCCAGUGAGUAUUGUCUAAGGAGAGCCUAUUACUAAAGAGUUCUUUGAGUUCUAUCAAGGGCAAUCUGGGUGGAAUGGUUGGGAGAUAAUACCUAUGGGAAUGGGUUGAUCAGUGAAAAGCACAUGAAAAGACAGACUCUACAGAUGUUUGGCUGUGAAGGAAAUGAGAGAUAGGUGGUAGACAAUUGGAGACCUCAAAAAUGCCUUCAGUGGGUGAUUCUCUGCCUGGUCUGCAAAGACCUCUUCUGAUCUGGCCCUUUCCUGCCUCUUCCAACUUUUAAGCCAAAGACAGCACUCACUUCAUACUUCCAGGCCUAUAGGCUCACAACUCCUCCGGUCAUCUUCCUUUUGUUUCAAGUUGACUCGUUCCUCAAAACUCAGUUCAGACUUCACUUCCAUAGGAAGUCUUCUCAGCCUCAUCUUCCUCAGUAAGUUUUCAUCAAAAGUCACUUUUUGUAAUUCUUUAAAAACCUAAACUGCCCAGCACAGUGCUAGGCACCUGCACAAGUGGUUCUCAGAUACUCAGCGGGUAAUGAAUGAUUUUACCUGAAAUACUUGGCUCACUUGAUCAGAACC
rnacentral:lncRNA from 1 species